GUGAAGAUAAUGCACCUAAUGCACCGUAUCAAACCGGUAAUGAUGAUCAACGUAUUCGAGUACAAAGGGAAGCACCUACCGGGUAAAGGUGAGUAAACGC
rnacentral:lncRNA from 1 species